UCAGAAGGAUCAAAUGCUUCAGUUUCCAAAUUUGUCACAUUACUCAAUGCAGCUUCCAAUUCUUUCAUCACAGACUCUUUUGAGCAUUUCUCAUCCCCCUUAGAAUAGCAAUCAUGCAUUGUAAGCUUGUCUUUAGGACUACCAUUCCCUGCAUUCUGCAGUUGAAGCUUAUCACCCUCUUCAAAACUUAUCUGAAAACUACCAUCAAUCUUAUCUUCUACUAAAGAAACAUCAUCGAUCUUAACAGUAACUUCAACUGCUUUCUCCCGUUCCUCUUUUGACAAUUCCAUUCCCUGUUCAAUCACAGAAAAUUCACCAU
rnacentral:misc_RNA from 1 species